GGGAAUGUAGCUCAAUGGUAGAGUGCUUUACCUAGUAUGCAUAAGUCCCUGGGUUCGAUCUCCAGCAUCCUCU
rnacentral:tRNA from 1 species